AAUCAACGCUGGCGGCGUGCCUAACACAUGCAAGUCGAACGAGAAAGGGGACUUCGGUCCCUGAGUACAGUGGCGCGCGGGUGAGUAACACGUGACUUAUCUACCCUCGAGUGGGGAAUAACUUCGGGGAAACCGAGGCUAAUACCGCAUAAUACCCACGGGUCAAAAGGAGCAAUUCGCUUGAGGAGGAGGUCGCGGCCGAUAGUAGUUGCGGGGUAAUGGCCCCACCAAGACGGUGAUCGGUAUCCGGCCUGAGAGGGCGCACGGACACACUGGAACUGAAACACGGUCCAGACUCCUACGGGAGGCAGCAGUGGGGAAUUUUGCGCAAUGGGGGAAACCCUGACGCAGCAACGCCGCGUGGAGGGUGAAGUCUCUUGGGACGUAAACUCCUUUCGAUCGGGACGAUUAUGACGGUACCCCGCAGAAUAAGCACCGGCUAACUACGUG
rnacentral:rRNA from 1 species